rnacentral:rRNA from 1 species
GACGAACGCUGGCGGCGUGCUUAACACAUGCAAGUCGAACGGAAAGGCCCUGCUUUUGUGGGGUGCUCGAGUGGCGGACGGGUGAGUAACACGUGAGUAACCUGCCCUUGACUUUGGGAUAACUUCAGGAAACUGGGGCUAAUACCGGAUAGGAGCUCCUGCUGCAUGGUGGGGGUUGGAAAGUUUCGGCGGUUGGGGAUGGACUCGCGGCUUAUCAGAUUGUUGGUGGGGUAGUGGUUUACCAAGGCUUUGACGGGUAGCCGGCCUGAGAGGGUGACCGGCCACAUUGGGACUGAGAUACGGACCAGACUCCUACGGGAGGCAGUGGUGGCGAAUAUUGCCCAAUGGGAGGAAGCCUGAUGCAGAAACGCCGCGUGCGGGAUGACGGCCUUCGGGUUGUAAACCGCUUUCGCCUGUGACGAAGCGUGAGUGACGGUAAUGGGUAAAGAAGCACCGGCUAACUACGUG